rnacentral:rRNA from 1 species
UACGUAGGUGGCAAGCGUUGUCCGGAUUUACUGGGCGUAAAGAGCGCGCAGGCGGUCGUUCAAGUCGCGUGUGGAAGCCCCCGGCUCAACUGGGGAGGGUCACGCGAUACUGAUCGACUCGAAGGCAGGAGAGGGUAGUGGAAUUCCCGGUGUAGUGGUGAAAUGCGUAGAUAUCGGGAGGAACACCAGUGGCGAAGGCGACUACCUGGCCUGUUCUUGACGCUGAGGCGCGAAAGCUAGGGGAGCAAACGGG